GGAGAAGUCAGUAGCUGAACAUAACGUCUAACUUCCAUUCAAAACGCAUUCAACAACUAGCCAACUAUCAACAAGUCAUCUUCCCUUCCAUACAAAGAUUAAGUUUGAACCCUUCCAUUUAUGCCUCCAAUUAUUUUUCAGCAUUUUAGAGUGUUUGAAUACUUAUAACCACUCUUGGGAAGGUGAUAGGAGAGUCACAAGGAUGGCAGAUGCGACCAACAUGCACGAGCUAUCAAAUGAACUGUGUCAAAUUUUUUUCCAUUUCUACAGAAAUUCAAAGCAGAGAGGCUAUAAAGAACAUUUGCAAAUACCAUAAUCUUUUGUUAGGUCAAAGAAACAGAGAGUUAGACAAGCAAGGAUCGGAUGAAUACAUUUUUGCACAAGUAGUUGAUAAUUGAAGAAGAAAAAGAAGAAGAAGAUGAAGAAGAUAAAGAAAAUGGGAUUUGCAAACAACGUAGGGAAAUUUCAUCUUGGCAGAACAAUUGGAGUAGGAACUUUUGCAAAGGUUAAACUCGCUGUAGACAGCACCAAUGGCAGUUAUGUUGCAAUCAAGAUCAUUGAUAAGCAAAUGGUUGUGCAAAGCAAUCUCAAGUACCAGGUACAAAGGGAAAUAAGAACCAUGAAGGUCUUGAAUCACCCCAAUGUUGUUCGUAUACAUGAGGUCAUUGGCACAAAGACAAAAAUUUAUAUAGUAAUGGAAUAUGUGUCAGGAGGACAACUAUCCGACAAGUUGUCCUAUUCCCAAAAACUAAACGAAUCAGAGGCAAGAAAAAUGUUUCAGCAAUUGAUUGAUGCUGUGGACUAUUGCCACAACAGAGGAGUAUAUCACAGAGAUCUAAAGCCAGAAAACUUGCUUUUGGACAAUAAGGGAAAUCUGAAAGUAUCUGACUUUGGUCUAAGUGCGUUGCGUAAGCAUGGUGACAUUCUAACUACAGCCUGUGGCUCUCCGUGCUACGUAGCCCCUGAGCUUAUUGCCAAUAAGGGUUAUGAUGGAGCAGCAGCAGAUGUUUGGUCCUGUGGAGUAAUACUUUUUGAACUACUUUCUGGUUGCCUACCUUUUGAUGAUCGCAAUCUUGUGGUGCUAUAUAAAAAGGUAUGUUUCUAUAUGACCCUUGACUAUGCUACUCAAAAGGAAAAAUCAUAUCAUAUUUACAUAAUAGUCUGUUUAAAGAUAUCUCGAGCAGAAUACACAUUUCCACAAUGGUUUACUGAAAGUCAGAAGAAGCUAAUAUCAAGGAUAUUUGAUCCAAAUCCUAGAAGGGUAUGGCCAAUGAAAUACUUUGUGUUUCAAGAAAUUCUAAGAACAUAAUAAACAAGAAAUUGAUGUGUUAAAUCAUUACAGAGAAUAACAAUACCAGAGAUCAUUGAAGAUGCAUGGUUUCAGACAGAUUAUGUGCCCUCCUGUGGAUGUGAAUGUGGUGAGAAAAUCUACUUGGACGAUGUUAAUGCUGCGUUCGAUGCAAUUGAGGUAAAUGCUUCAAGAUAUAAAUAUGAAAGUGUGAAUUUAUGACUUCAACUAAAGCUAAACACCUAAAAUCCUGAGCAGGAUGAUGCAGCAGAGACAAAAAUGCCCAAUUCCUCAAGUUUCAUAAAUGCAUUCCAAUUGAUAGCCAUGUCACAUGACCUUGAUUUAUCAGGUCUCUUUGAAGAACAGGCAAGCAUAUAAAUCAGAAUUUGAAUUUACUAUUUUACAAUAAGGAAAUUCUUGCCUAAACCUGAUCCAUCGUGGGCCCAACACAUUUAUGGUGGAACCAACAUGAAAGUAGGUGGGACCCAUAUGUUUGUCUUGGGUCUAUGAUGAGUCAAGGCUAGGUAAGUUUUUUCUUUUAUAGCCUUAGUUCAUUUGAACAUGUCAAUUUCUUCUCUUAUCUAGGAAGAUAAGAAGCAGACAACAAGGCUUGGAUCCAAGCAUACACUAAAUGAAACCAUAAAGAAAAUAGAAGCUGCUUCAAUGGAUUUAAGCCUAACAGUUGAAAGAAUAAACAACUUCAAGGUAAAAUAUAGUAAUGUCCUUAUUCUUCACCAAGAGAGAUUUUUUAUUAAAUAUUUACAGCAGAUUUAAUCACUAUACAACGUUAUCUCAGCUGAAAAUGCAUCCAAAAAAAAAGAUGACUAGAUGUACCAGAUCAUACUAUGACCUAUCAGCAGAGGUAAUUGAGGUUGCUCCCACCAAUUGUGUUGUAGAAAUAACAAAAUCAGCAGGAGAGCUAAGAUUGUAUACUGAGUUCUGCAGAAGCUUAUCAAGUUUACUGAAAGAGAAAUCAAGUGCAUCAUUCCACAUGCUAGAGUCAGAAGCAGCAAGCAUUAUAAGCAACAACGUUCAAGAAACAGGAAGUUCUGAAAAGCAAAAUGACAUAGAGAAAAAUGACCUUCGAGGCUAUUCAUCGAAUUGAUUCUUACGUUCCCUUUUCAUUCUUCAUAGCAAUUCCCUGGAGGGCGCUAAGAGGAGAAUAAGCAAACUGUAUAAUAAGCAUGCGAGUACAGAAAGUGGAGAGUUUUGCAG
rnacentral:misc_RNA from 1 species